rnacentral:rRNA from 1 species
UACGUAGGGGGCAAGCGUUGUCCGGAUUUAUUGGGCGUAAAGAGCGUGUAGGCGGCCAGACAGGUCCGUUGUGAAAACUCGAGGCUCAACCUCGAGACGUCGACGGAAACCGUCUGGCUAGAGUCCGGAAGAGGAGUGUGGAAUUCCUGGUGUAGCGGUGAAAUGCGCAGAUAUCAGGAAGAACACCGAUGGCGAAGGCAGCUCUCUGGGACGGUACUGACGCUGAGACGCGAAAGCGUGGGGAGCGAACAGG